GCGAAAACCUUUGCCAGUGAUAUGCUUGGCUAAAUCCCACCAACAUAGGCUUUAACUGGCGCUUGCUGACUGGAUUACACGCUUGCUGCUCGGAAUAUCAGCGUAUUUUGUUACUUGAUAGGCUAUUAAUUUGACGUUUCUUGAGUUAACCCACACAUAGACCUAAACUUAUUUUCAAAGUGCAUUUUUCCAUUGGUGGAAUGCUGUUUAUGGGCUUUUUACAUCAUCAUCUGUUAGAGUACAACGCUUUGCUUUGCUUAUAUAAUUGGAGUCGUGGUAUGCAACUGGUAUAAAGAUACGAUCCCUAAAUAAGGCUACUCCAUACUUAGAAGAAUUUUGAUCACAGCGGCAGGUGUGCACAGUGCAGUGCCUUUGGCUGUGAAGCAAAUUGGCUGCACUGACUUCGCUGCACUGGUUAGUUGAGCGGUGUUGGUUAUUUGUCCAACCAAAUGAGGACUGCGCGUGACAUGCGGGCUUUGGAGUCAAGCAUCAGAAGGCUCUAACCUGUGGAAAGAAGCCGACAGCACGCAGACAUGGGAUCCCUGAUGCGACGUAGAUGGUUCAUGAUCCCAUUGUUGGUGCAGGGCUGGUUGCUAGCGUCUCCAAUCAGUGAGCGAGCCUGUCCUCAAAGCUGUAGAUGUGAUGGGAAAAUAGUAUACUGUGAGUCCAAUGCCUUCCGGGAUGUGCCAAACAAUGUGUCUGUGGGAUGCCAGGGCCUCUCUCUGCGCUACAACAGUUUAGUGAAUCUCAGAGCUAGUCAGUUCUCAGGCCUCAGUCAGCUUGUUUGGCUUUAUCUCGACCACAACUACAUUAACACAGUGGACAGCCAAGCCUUCCAUGGGGUACGGAGGCUCAAGGAGUUGAUUCUCAGCUCUAACAAGAUCACACAGCUACAAAACAACACUUUCCAUACUGUCCCUAACUUACGCAAUCUUGACCUUUCUUACAACAAGCUGCAGGCCCUCCAGCCCAGUCAAUUUCAGGGCAUGCGGAAGUUGCUUAGUCUACACUUGCGGUCUAACUCCCUGAAAACUGUCCCAAUGCGUGUUUUUCAGGAUUUGCGCAAUUUGGAGUUCCUUGAUCUAGGCUACAAUCGAUUGCGAAGCCUGACUCGAAAUGCUUUUGCUGGGCUGCUCAAGUUGAUCGAGCUUCAUUUGGAACACAAUCAAUUCUCAAAGAUCAACUUCUCUCACUUUCCCCGCCUCACCAACCUGCGGGCACUCUAUUUGCAAUGGAACCGAAUUAAGUCAAUAAACCAGGGUCUAACCUGGACGUGGACGUCCUUGCAAAAACUGGACCUUUCUGGAAAUGAACUGCAAGUUGUGGAUGCCAGUACGUACCAAUGUCUCCCCAACCUACAGACCCUGAACUUGGACUCCAAUAAGCUUCGCAACAUGUCCCAGGAGACAGUGGAUGCCUGGAUCUCCCUCACCACCAUCAGCCUAGCUGGUAAUGUGUGGUACUGUAGCCCUACCAUCUGCCCCUUAGUGGCCUGGCUGAUGAACUUCAAGGGGAACAAGGAGACCACUAUGAUUUGUGCUGGGCCUAAGGAGGCCCAAGGAGAGAAAGUGAUCGAUGCAGUAGAGACAUUUAGUAUCUGUAAGGUCACUCCCACCACCCCUUUUGUCUCAACCACAGCCUCCCUCAACAUCCCAUCUCAGCCUGAGCUCCUGCCCCUUCCCACGUUGUCUCGGGUUGAAGAGGAGUUGACUCGCAGUGCUACGACCAUUCCGUCUCCUUCAGGGGUCUCCCCUACUACCCCAGAGCAAGACUUUGAGUAUGUGUCUCUCCAUAAGAUUAUUGCUGGCUGUGUGGCACUUUUCCUGUCGGUGGCUAUAAUUCUCCUGGUUAUUUAUGUGUCCUGGAAGCGCUACCCCAACAGCAUUAAGCAGCUCCAGCAGCGCUCCAUGGUCAAAAAGCAGCGAAAGAAUGUGCGGGAAACAGAAAGCACUCUCAGCUCACCUCUGCAAGAGUAUUAUGUGGACUACAAACCUGCAAACUCUGCAACUAUGGAUGUGCUGGUUAAUGGGACUGGACCCUACACAUACACAAUCUCAGGCUCCAGAGAAUGUGAGGUAUGAUCCAUUUCCACUGCGGGGCACCAGAGAUGUUUCUGGUUCUAGCCAAAGAGGUGCAAAACCAGGUACCACAGCAGUUGAGUGCUCUGACGUUGAACAGGUAUGAACAGCCCGUAGUGGAUUACUGCCAGGCCCAAGGGACGCUGCACCUCAACAUGGGCUUUGUGCCCCCCUCCCAGGCACAGGGCUGUCUGAGGCCACCGGGCUGCAGUACAGGUCAUACAGCUGGUCUCCCCUCAGCACCCACCACCUUGCUCAUACGCACGGACCCCCAUUCCCUCCAACAGUGACUUGUGACCUGUGCAGAUGGGGAGUCCAGACCAGUGCUCCCCUAUCCAUCUAGGCUACUGAGCAUGGUGUUGUUACAGUACUGUAUUACCACAACAGAUAAUGAGUGAAACAGAUACAAAUCUGCACUGAGGAGGAACAUUCUGACUGGAGAAUCUGUUAUUAAUGGAGAGAAUACAUUUAUCUAACACUGAAUAUACCUUGACUAAUGAAAAUGAAAAUAUUCAUUAAUGGAAAUUGCAGUGUACUGUUACAGUAUAUUACAUGAUAGCUGCCCCUUUGAUGUCCAUUAUAAUUGAAUAUAGUCCAGUUACAGUAUCACAUUCCUUUUGCUUCUAAAAUGGUUUCCAGCAUCAUGGGGAGAAAUAUACAAAAUGACAUGAUUCAUUACUCUUAUUGAACUUAUUGACUCUGCUGCUCACAGUUUCGGCACCUUCACUGUUUUAGGUAAGUAAGUAUCUACAAAAUGCAAUAAUAGAUCUGGGUAAACAGUAGGGUGAGCAAUGGAAUAGCAGAACAAAUUAAAGACUAACAGAGCUGAAAGGUUUUAUGCUGCUUUUUCUAAUAAUGCUGCCAGUCAGAGGCCUUACAGAUUUUCCAGUCCCCGUAGCUAUUUCAUUUCAAGAAGUGAGCCAUUCAAAUGAAAUGACCCACAACGACAAGAGAAAACCUGGUAAGUGAUGGGCACACCGUUUUCAUGUCAAGUGUACAGAUUACAUUUAUUUUCCAGAAGUACAUUAAUGAAUAUUUUUAUUAUUUUGGUUAUUUUUAUUAUUAUUUUAUUUUUAUGUUCAUUUUACUAUAAUGCCAUUUCUUUUGUGUGUUUUUUGUUUCCACGAUGAAAAGUAAAACGUUGAUGCGUAAUAGACUAAUUGUUUUCAUGUCAAGUAUAGCCUACAGAUGACAUAUCUUGUCAGAAAUACAUAUUUGUUAUUGUGUUGAUAUGGAUUUGUUCAUCAUGAUCAUCAUUGCAUUUUCAUGAUUCAUGUAAUGACAAUUUAUUUUAUAUUUAUGUCACGUCAAUCAUCAAUCUAAUUGUAGGAUUGUCUCUCACAUACCAUGUGUAGUUACUUAAAGGGAAGCAUUUUAGUGUGACCAUUAAUUGACUUUGUGACCUCAGAUAAUGACAUUCACCUAGAGAUCAGCAGUGAAUUCACUCAUAGUGGAGAUAACUGUUGUAACAGCUUAACCCAGACUGUCUAAUAUUGAUGCCUGUCUGCUCUCCCCAGCUGUGACGCAUUAGAUCUUUGUAUCCCUUUUCCCCAAUGUCUACUGUGACUGUUACAGAUUUCAUCAAGGAGCCUCAUUUGGAUGUGGUUCAUACUCAUACUCCACUUCAAGGACACAUGUAAUAACAAAAACCCAAUGAACUUGUUCAAUUCAAAUAAAGUGUCUCGGCUGCUUCAUGAACACGGCCAUUUGCCCAUGAAGAGGAGGAGCCUUAUCUGAAGUUCAGAUGAACUUGAACAUGCCCUGAUUUGUGUUUGUAGGCUGGGUAUGAGAGUGUGACUGACAUUUUGUGAAGUCGAGGACUUGCAAUAUUGGCUUGCUGUUUGAAGAAGAUGUUAUCCUGAUUUCUGUUAAUUAAACCAUAUAAAAUAUCAGCUUGAACUGUCGUCACACAAUUUAAUGAUAUUUCAAUAGAUUUAAUGACCAAAUGUUUUUUAUGCUUAUUGAAGAAAAAAUUCCUGUGAACAUUAAAAUUACUUUUAACAUUUAUUUACUGAGAUUUAAUUUUUAUUUUCAUACCAUGAAAUUACACUGCUUAUCAUGUCUGAGAGUGUGGUGUUUUGGGAUAAUCUUGACCACAAGUAAUACAGUGCUGAAUGAUAGCUUUUUAAAAAUUUUAUGUUCUGCAUCAAAGCAUCACUGAUCUGAAAAAUGUAUGAAUAAUGUAAACAAAAUAAAGUCAUUAUUAACUGAUGCAA